rnacentral:tRNA from 1 species
UCCAAAAAAAAGUAUAGUGGUGAGUAUCUCCGCCUGUCACGCGGGAGACUGGGGUUCAAUUCCCCCCUCGAG